AUGGAAUCCAACAGAGAAGAGGCCGUCAAGGCUAGGGAAAUUGCUUUAAAAAAGUUAGAAAGCAAAGACUUUGUUGGUGCUAAAAGGAUUGCACUGAAAGCACAAAGGAUUUUUCCAGAACUUGAAAACUUAUCUCAGCUGUUGACUGUCUGCGAAGUGCAUUGUGCAGCAGAGGCAAAGAUCAAUGAGUUGUUGGACUUCUACGGGAUUCUCCAAGUGGAUGUAACGGCUGAUGAGGCAACCAUAAAGAAGCAGUACCGGAAGCUUGCCUUUUCACUCCACCCUGAUAAAAAUAGUUACCCUGGUGCAGAAGCUGCUUUUAAAUUGGUAGCAGAAGCUCACUCAACAUUGUCUGAUCGAACAAAAAAACCUGCAUAUGACAUCAAGUGGAGGGUUGCUUCUAGAAUUGCACCAAAGCAGGGUUCAGAACUAAAGCAGGCCACAGGACCAAAGCAAGGUGCCCAACCAAAGCAGGCUACCCAAUCAAAGAAGGCAGCAAUACCCAAGCAGGCAACAGUACCGAAGCAGGCGGCAGUACCAAAGCAGGCACCCAUACCAAAGCAGGCGACAGUACCAAAGCAGGCACCCAUACCAAAGCAGGCGGCAGUACCAAAGCAGACAGCUACAGAACAGAUGAAGAAACCUGGUGCAAAUAGAAGUAGUGUAGCAGGAGGUGAACCACCAGUUCCAUCAACCACUGUUGGACAGGCAAUAUGGACCAUAUGCAUUCACUGUAGAACAAGAUAUCAGUACUACAGUGGCGUACUAAAUCAUCGCAUCCGCUGUCAGAACUGCAGUAAAUAUUUUGUUGCUUCUAAGCUGAAUGCACAUGAUGUGCCUUCUGUAUUCACAUCAAAUUCCAUCAAAGGUGUUGGACAACAGAGUGGUUUUCCCAGUCAACCAGACUGUUCUACAAAGUUCUCUCCUAGGUUGAAUGGUGAUGCUAAGCCCUUGAAUGGAGCACAAACUGCUGAACAUAUGAAGAGUGCCAGAGCGGGUGGUGAGGAGAAGUUUAACCAUGCAGGGGCAGGUGGGAAAAGCGGGGUUGAAUUUUCAACAGGGAAUAUGUCUAAAUCUUCUGCACCAAGUGCAAGUGACAAGGCAGGUGGAAGAAUGGCAUCUGACCCUGCUGGUCCAGAUGUUGCUUAUAGUAAAAACCCAUGCAGUAGGGUAGUAGAUACACCAGCAGAGCCAGGUGCUACUGGCAGCCCUAGUCCCCGGAGAUCCGCUAGGAGAAAGGCAAACCAUGAUGCCAGUACCCCGGUUCCCCCUAGCAAAAAGAGGCGAACACUAAAAGACUGGUUUUCAAAUGCUGACACUAGUUGUAAGAAAAUGUUUGAUGACAAUGUUGCUCGUGCUGAUGGAAAAACUGGUGAAGCUCAUGUCCCUAGCAAAGCACACAAUGAAGAGAGAGGAAGCACUGCCAAAGAAGGGAACCAGGAAAGUGUUAAGAAAGAAUUUACAUGUGAUGCAUCUGCUGCGAAGGAUCCUUGCGAUUCUGCACAAUUAACCUACCCUGACCCAGAAUUUUUUGACUUUGAUAAAGGCAGGGAUGUGAAUUUGUUUGCAGUUGAUCAGAUUUGGGCAGUUUAUGAUGACCGCGAUGGCAUGCCACGAUAUUAUGCUCGAAUAAAGCAUGUAGAUGCUACCAAAUCCACUAUUCGGUACACUUGGCUGGAGCAUAAGGCAGUUAAUGAUGAAGAAGACAGAUGGACGGAUAAAGAACUGCCUGUUGCUUGUGGGAAGUUUAAUUUAGGAAAAACGGAGGUAUCACAAGGUGCCCUCAUGUUUUCUCAUACUGUUGUUCCAUGGGUGAUGGGCAAAAGAGGGUGUGCCUACGAAAUAUAUCCCAGGAAGGGUGAGGUAUGGGCUCUUUAUAAGGGUUGGAGUAUGCAGUGGUGUUCAGAUGCAGAUAACCAUAAAACAUACGAGUACGACGUUGUGGAGGUUCUGUCAGACUUCACAAUGGAAGGUGGAGCUGCUGUUUUUCCCUUGGUCAAGAUUAAGGGGUUUGUCAGUCUAUUUGGAAAAGCAAUUGACAGAUCAUCUUUUGUUAUACCAUCUAGUGAACUGCUUCGAUUUUCGCACAAUAUCCCAUUUUAUAGGACAAAAGGAAAUGAAAAGGCUGGUGUGGCAGGUGGGUUUCUUGAACUAGAUACCGUAUCACUUCCUAGUAACCUGGACGCAUCGUUUCCAUCAGUUACUAUCGACAAGACAAUUAGCAGUGGUUUCAUUGAUGCCAGUGAUAUUAGUACACCAGGUCCUGGAAAUGAACCAAGUGCUCAAAAGGAAAAUCAGCAAAGUGGAGGAAAACGGAUAGAUGAUUCCCUUGAACAAACCCCAAGACAGAAACAGAAAGGCGGCACUGCGAGUGUGCCUGGUUCUUCUUCUCAGCUAUUCCGCUCCUCUCCAAGUACUAUUGCAACAUAUCCAGAUUCAGAGUUUUAUAACUUUGAAGAAGGGCGAUCAUAUAACAAGUUUGAACGUGGCCAGAUAUGGGCUCUUUACAGCGAUCUUGACAAAUUUCCCAAGUAUUACGGCUGGGUGACCAAAGUUGAUAUGGAACCGUUCAGAUUGCAUUUAACUUGGCUCGAAGCGUGUCCUCAACUGGAGCAAGAGAAGAUGUGGUUGAAGCGUGAUAUACCUGUGAGCUGUGGGACAUUUAAGCUCCGCAACUGGAGGAUCAAGUAUGAUUCAAAUGACGCAUUCUCUCAUUUAGUAGAAACUAGCCAAGUUAAUGGGCAACGUUUUGAAAUUCACCCGCGAGUAGGUGAAAUUUGGGCCAUUUACAACAACGACUGGGCACCUGACUGGGUUCCUUCCAGUGAUGAUGCGUGUGAAUAUGCCGUCGGUGAGAUUACUGAGCGCACUGAAGCUAGCACGAAGUUCUCGUUUCUGACUCCAGUAGACGGUUACACAGCUGUGUUCAGGUUUGACAAUGAAAGGGGUAUUCUGGAGAUUCCUGCAAAUGAGAACUUGAGGUUUUCUCACCAUAUACCUUCUUACCGUCUGACGGAAGAAAAAAGUGGCACGCUCCGUGGCUUCUAUGAGCUAGAUCCAGCUUCUGUUCCUGAUGCUUUCCUGGUCCGAGGGGGCACCUGCUGA
rnacentral:rRNA from 1 species